rnacentral:rRNA from 1 species
AUUGAACGCUGGCGGCAGGCCUAACACAUGCAAGUCGAGCGGAUGAAGGGAGCUUGCUCCUGGAUUCAGCGGCGGACGGGUGAGUAAUGCCUAGGAAUCUGCCUGGUAGUGGGGGAUAACGUCCGGAAACGGGCGCUAAUACCGCGUACGUCCUGCGGGAGAAAGUGGGGGAUCUUCGGACCUCACGCUAUCAGAUGAGCCUAGGUCGGAUUAGCUAGUUGGUGGGGUAAAGGCCUACCAAGGCGACGAUCCGUAACUGGUCUGAGAGGAUGAUCAGUCACACUGGAACUGAGACACGGUCCAGACUCCUACGGGAGGCAGCAGUGGGGAAUAUUGGACAAUGGGCGAAAGCCUGAUCCAGCCAUGCCGCGUGUGUGAAGAAGGUCUUCGGAUUGUAAAGCACUUUAAGUUGGGAGGAAGGGCAGUAAGUUAAUACCUUGCUGUUUUGACGUUACCAACAGAAUAAGCACCGGCUAACUUCGUG